AGAAGAAAAGUAGUGCUGGAGCAGAGCACUUGAACUUGGAGAACUGGAGUUGUCAGUCACUGCUGAAGGUACAGGAAUAGUGGAUGGAAACGUGCAUUGCUCUUCUGAAGCUGAAUCCUCAGGCAUUCGUGGCCCGUCUCUGCAGCCCGAUGUGUUUUUUCCUCCCAUUGUUGUCGCUGGGAGCUGGCAGCAGCUGUGGCAGGGGGAGCGUGCGGAGGAGCCGCCAGCCGCCCGCUAGAAAGAAGCUCAAGAAAAGAGACCGACAAAGUUGGGCGGUGCAAGUUUUUAUAUCUAUUUAAUAUUUCAGCGUGUCCCAGGCGUUAUUAGACGUCGGCGUGCAGAGCAGUCACGAUGCGCCUGGGAACGAGUCCAUGGGGUUUUGUGCCAUCUGUACGCCUGGGCACCAGCAUACCCGUCCUGAACUCGUAUUUUUGAGUUAACUGUGAGAUGAUCUUCAGUAAUUGUAUCUCACUGCAGUUACGCAUCCCGAUUGUCUUAACAACGUGGAUUUGGACAUAAGUAUUUCCGGGGCUCGUAUUUAUUUUUUUCUGGUACCUGGGAUUGUUCAGGAUUGCUUUAUAAUUGCCAUUUGUAUCAUCUCUUUUUACAAUGAUUUUUUUGAUAGCCUGCAAAGGUCCGUAAGUGCCGUAAGUGUAUCUUCUAUUUUAUCUUCUACAUACGUGUGCGGGUGCGUGCUCGCGCUCGGUCCCGCUCUUUCACUUGCUCUUUGGGUGUUGACGAAGAAAUUUACUUAAGUACAUUACUUAAAUACUAGACUAAUGACAUUCGUAGCUAAAUCUGAGUAGCAUGCAGCUAUAGAUGUUCUGAGUUAGGCAUGGUUUGGCAGAGGGUCACAGAUUUAUAACAACUCUGAAAUCGCCAAACCUAUAACACUUUCUGUGCUUUAUAUAGCCAAGUGAACACGCAAGCUGAAGUGUCUGGAAAUUAAUAUAUUUUAAAG
rnacentral:lncRNA from 7 species